rnacentral:siRNA from 1 species
GCCACGAUCAACUUCGCCGCGG